rnacentral:rRNA from 1 species
GACGAACGCUGGCGGCGUGCUUAACACAUGCAAGUCGAACGGAGCGAAUGAAAGCUUGCUUUUAUAAGCUUAGUGGCAAACGGGUGAGUAACACGUAGGCAACCUGCCGACAGGAUGGGGACAACAUUCCGAAAGGAAUGCUAAUACCGAAUGAAGCGCAGGAGAGGCAUCUCUCCUGCGUGAAAGAUGGCCUCUAUAUAUAAGCUAUCACCUGUCGAUGGGCCUGCGUCUGAUUAGCUGGUAGGUGAGGUAACGGCUCACCUAGGCGACGAUCAGUAGCCGGUCUGAGAGGAUGAACGGCCACAUUGGGACUGAGACACGGCCCAGACUCCUACGGGAGGCAGCAGUGGGGAAUCUUCCGCAAUGGGCGCAAGCCUGACGGAGCAACGCCGCGUGAGUGAAGAAGGUCUUCGGAUCGUAAAGCUCUGUUGAUGGGGACGAACGUGCCUAAUGCGAAUAGUAUUAGGC